rnacentral:lncRNA from 10 species
CACUACUUCCUUCAUUGGACUGCAAGGUAUUUCUGUUUGGAAAAGUAAUGGAGUCCAGUCAACUUCAUUGAUCGCCAAGGACUGUCAAAAUUAUAAAACUUGCUGUGGAGCUCUGACAUGCCAGAAGCCGCUAGAAAAAGAAGUUUGACAUUCAGAAACUUAUCAAGAGGUUCUACUCUUUGGAUAGAGACCAAAAUCAUACUUUGAAAAAGCCUGACAGGUUUCUUCGGAAAAGUGGCCAUCCAUGGAAUGAAUGAAAUGUUCUCUUUCUAUUCCAGGGAUUGCAGUGGCAAAGCUAGGCUAGGUCUUGGAGGCUGGUGUAAGGCGAUGUGGGUGAAGGCAGGAGGCUGAUGGAAAGACUGGGGGGAAGAAAAGCCGAAAUGGAUUCACGGUGCCUUGGAUGAAGGACGAGAGGGGAACUGCAAGCUCCUUCAACUGGUUCUGUCCGGUGAGAAGUGAUCAAGCUUGGGCUGACAAGAGGCUCAGGGAGCCCUCACGUUCUUUCGCUUUUUUACCUGCCAAUCAAACUGCUACAAGACAACACCCUGAUCUGGCAUGGACAUCGCGGGUCCAAGCCUGUAGCCCCAAAUCGGAUAAUCUCUGCAGCUGAUAACAAGCAAAAGAGAAGCCAGGCAACAGCCAUAUUAAAGAAGAAAACAAUCAACUCUGAGAUCCAACUUAGAAAUAAUGUUUCAUUCAAGAUAAGGCUCGUGGCUUAGGAGAUUGUGACCUGGCUUGCAUCAUUCUAAGACUUCUAUCGUCUGUUUUCAAAACCCAAGGAGGACCUCCUUUUCUGUGUGAUAGUUCCUCAUGCUUUGCCAGCCACUGGGUCUUUAAGGAAGCUUGCCAAGAGUUCCCGGCUGGGAAGGACAGUUCGAGUUCAUCAUAGACAAUGAGCUGGCACCACAGUUUAAGUGACUCACCAACCUGGUUGCCCACUUCAAAAUGUCAAGAACCACACUAUCUAAUUGAAAGAACUGUGUUUUAGCAAAGUGUAAUUGGAUCGCCUGGCAAGAUCAUCUCAAACUAUGUCUCUGACCUUGCCUUUCAGUGGCUAUUUUGAGCACAAGAGGAGAAAGGAAAUGAUUCCUGAAUUAUAUCUUGUUUUUAAAAAUUAAGAUUAAUUAAUACUUGGUUUUAUGUUCAUUCCAUUGUAGGAACUUAGUGAUUAUUACAAAACAGUCAAAAUAGGUCAUAGCAAAAUGAACGUUUAAGAUUAGGUUAAAACAUUCCUCUGAAAUUUUAGUAUUCACUUUUGAAGUGUCAAUUACUAUAUUUCUGUAAUUUCUCAUUUUUUUCUUGGCUUAGAGUCAAGAUGAAAAAUGAUAUUUGAAUCAAAGACAUUGUUUUGUUAUAUAGCCACUCCUUUCUAAAAUGCAAAUCCACCCUCCCCUCACCAAUGCUUUAUUCUUUGUGCGCGCACACACACACACACACACACACACACACACACACACACACAGACAUACACAGAACCAGCACCCAAAUGGUAGAGGAGGUCCUUCCAAGACUUCUAGGACCUGGAUCAUGUAAGCAGUAGAUGAGAAAAUGAAGUAAGAGAUAUAGAGUAAUAACAAUAAAAGUCAAUGAUUUCAUUUUACAAAAAAGUCAUUGUGUAGUACUCAGAUAUUUUUAAGAGCAAGUAUUAUUAUGACUAAAGUAUAUUAUACUUCUAAAUUAUUAUGAUUCUCAUCUAAUUUCAAGCCACACAUAGGCGCCAUUUGAAAGCAUUUUGUGUUACAACCUAUCAACAAAAAUCAACUAAUAGUUUUAUAACGUGCAUAGGUUUACCCCAUGGGGAAUUAAAAUUUUUAUCUGCAAGUAUUUCUGUUGUUGUGAGACUUUAGGACAAGACAACAUUUGGUGUUAACAUAGAAGAAUAUUCUAUGGCUUUUUUAGCUUUAAAGUUCAUUACUCUAAAAUAAAGUACACGUGGUAUUUUUUUCUUCCUAGUGUUCUCUUAUUAUAUGUAGAGUAUUUUCGGUUGUUGUUUUUAACGUAUACAUUAUUUUUAUUAAGUCAUUUCAUAAAAGAUAAGAUAUAUACUAAUAGACCCUUGGUUUUCUCCUAAUUUAAUUAUUUCAAGUCAAGCAAAAUUGGGCAAUUUUCUUUCAGGAAAAAAAAAAUAUUGAGCAUGAUUUUGAGGUAAAACUGAUUAUUUACAGCAUCUUUUCUCUAAUAGGCUAACAUUUAUGAUGGAUCUUAUUUCAAAGUUGAUUAUUCUCAAAGAAAAGUGGAGAUAUUAGAAUUUCCGAGUAAAUUGCAUUGUUUUAAAAAGUACUUUAAUGCAUUGUUCACAUUGUUGCCAGCUAUUGACCAAAAAAGAGAAGAAGAAAAAAGAAAUAAAAAAAGCAGUAUCUGCUCCAAACGUCAAGUUUUGCAGUUUGAAAGACUUGUACAUUAUAAUUGUUUUUUUCUUUUUUGGAAAGCAGUAGUAAUUAAUACCAAAGGCAUAGACAAUUUAGGGCCAUAACCUCCCUUCCCCCCUCUCCACCUUUUUUUUUUUUUUUUUUUUUUUUUAACUUUAACCAUGAUAGGCAUCUCUGCAAGGUAGGUUUUAACAUAUUUUUUUCCUAAUUUUUUUCCCUCCAUUCAGUAAGAAGGAUAAGCUUUUAGAGUACCCAGUCACCGUGGUAACUGCCAAAAAAAUUCUCCUGAAGUUUGAAGAGGUCAGCUAGCAGGGUCAACAACCCUGGCCUCUCUCUGAGCUCGGUCUAGCAUGCCCCAGCCUGCGGUUGGAGUGUCAGGCCAGAUCUGACCCUGGGAGGUGGACCAUUCUGGCUCUGAUAUAAAUUUUUCGAGUCAGUUCAUGGCCUGGACUCUCCAGGUGGCCUCCAAAAUCGAUUUUGACCCCCUGACCCUGUCUCACGGAGGCAUAGCAUCCACCCUAAGUAAGGAUUUAGCCAGGAAUGACAGCUUUCCACUGAGUGUUAUUGGGGACAGUAUAAACAGUUUGGAAAGCAAGUAAGGAGGUGUGAGGGCUAGCAAUCAUUAAAAGCACAUUAAAAAACAAUUUUUAAAAAUCUUUAUUAGAGAAAGUUGUAAAUGCAUAUCUGUUACAGAAUUCCUGUGAUUUGUAGAGUUUUCUAGUCAGUUUUGAAUAUAAAUAGGUCACAUAUCUUUAUCUUUUUGCAUACUUUGUUACAAAUAUGCAAAUAAGAUAGGCAUACUUGCUACAAAAUAGGUACAGCAGGAAUGUAAUAUGUUCAGAAAAGGCAAACUGGUUAUUAAAACACAUUAACAGGUAAGGAGUUUCUAAUAUUUUAAAUACUAAAAUUUUACAUGUGUAUUUUGAAGUUUUUAAAAUGGAAAAAUAAAGAACCUUUAAAAAACCCAACAGUGUGGAAUAAAGAUAAACUUGUUGCACUCAAGGUACAUUUCUACUUUGUAAAGCAAGAAGCCAAUACACUCAGUUGGAUAAAAAUGAGAGAAAAAUUGUAAAUAUAGAGAGUUACAGCUUAUAGAGCUGAAGAGGAAUAAAACAAAAAAAAGUGUCUCUGAAUAACUUUAUGUAUUUUCAACAGUUUAAGAUAUCAGAAACUUGGAAAAUAAAUAUGAUAUAUAUAUAAAUCAUCA